CUGGGGAAUGCCGUAAUGCCGUUUCCUAAAAAAAAACAAUUAGCACCUUCAGAAGGUCGUAGCAGGAGUAGAGGACUCAGAAAAAGAAAUGAAGGAAAAUUUGGGUGGAUUUAUUCACCCAAACCAAAUUUCAUACCAGGAUUUCUGGGCUUGUGGAAUAUUUAGAGAAGUUGAGAGCAGUUUGUGCAGCUUUGGACAAGCACUAACCACUGGAAGCUCUACUGUACUGCUUCAUUUUGGCUGGAACAAUGGGGAUUGCAGGGGAUUUCUCAUCUUGUGA
rnacentral:lncRNA from 1 species